rnacentral:rRNA from 1 species
GAUGAACGCUGGCGGCGUGCCUAAUACAUGCAAGUCGAGCGAACAGACGAGGAGCUUGCUCCUCUGACGUUAGCGGCGGACGGGUGAGUAACACGUGGAUAACCUACCUAUAAGACUGGGAUAACUUCGGGAAACCGGAGCUAAUACCGGAUAACAUGCUGAACCGCAUGGUUCAACAGUGAAAGACGGUUUUGCUGUCACUUAUAGAUGGAUCCGCGCCGCAUUAGCUAGUUGGUAAGGUAACGGCUUACCAAGGCAACGAUGCGUAGCCGACCUGAGAGGGUGAUCGGCCACACUGGAACUGAGACACGGUCCAGACUCCUACGGGAGGCAGCAGUAGGGAAUCUUCCGCAAUGGGCGAAAGCCUGACGGAGCAACGCCGCGUGAGUGAAGAAGGUCUUCGGAUCGUAAAACUCUGUUAUUAGGGAAGAACAAAUGUGUAAGUAACUAUGCACGUCUUGACGGUACCUAAUCAGAAAGCCACGGCUAACUACGUG